UCCGAACCUGCGGAGGGAUCAUUA
rnacentral:rRNA from 1 species